GAUGAACGCUGACAGAAUGCUUAACACAUGCAAGUCUUUGGUGAAGCUGUGCUUGCACAGCCUAGCCAAGGCGGACGGGUGAGUAACGCGUAAGGAACUUGCCCUGCAGUCAGGGAUAACAGACGGAAACGACUGAUAAGACCUGGUAAAGUCAGGCGGACUCAUGUCCAGCCUGAUGAAAAGAGAUGCUGCAGGAGAGCCUUGCGUCCUAUUAGCUUGUUGGUGGGGUAACGGCCCACCAAGGCAAUGAUAGGUAGCCGGCCUGAGAGGGUGGACGGCCACAAGGGGACUGAGAUACGGCCCUUACUACUACGGGAGGCAGCAGUGGGGAAUAUUGGACAAUGGGGGCAACACUGAUCAAGCAAUUCUGUGUGCACGAUGAAGGUUUUCGGAUUGUAAAGUGCUUUCAGCAGGGAAGAAAAAAAUGACGGUACCUGCAGAAGAAGCGACGGCUAAAUACGUG
rnacentral:rRNA from 1 species